GCAGUCGAGCGGUACAUUUCUAGCUUGCUAGAAAUGACGAGCGGCGGCCGUAUGAGUAAUGCUUGGGAACAUGCCUUGAGGUGGGGGACACUAGUUGGAAACGACUGUGAAUACCGCAUAACGUCUACGGACCAAAGGAGGGGAUCUUCGGACCUUUCGCCUUUAGAUUGGCCCAAGUGAGAUUAGCUAGAUGGUAGGGUAAUGGCCUACCAUGGCGACGAUCUCUAGCUGGUUUGAGAGGAUGAUCAGCCACACUGGGACUGAGACACGGCCCAGACUCCUACGGGAGGCAGCAGUGGGGAAUAUUGCACAAUGGGGGAAACCCUGAUGCAGCCAUGCCGCGUGUGUGAAGAAGGCCUUCGGGUUGUAAAGCACUUUCAGUCGUGAGGAAAGGGUUGUAGUUAAUACCUGCAAUCUGUGACGUUAGCGACAGAAGAAGCACCGGCUAACUCCGUGCCAGCAGCCGCGGUAAUACGGAGGGUGCGAGCGUUAAUCGGAAUUACUGGGCGUAAAGCGUGCGUAGGCGGAUGAUUAAGCGAGAUGUGAAAUCCCGGGGCUCAACCUCGGAACUGCAUUUCGAACUGGUCAUCUAGAGUACUGUAGAGGGUGGUGGAAUUUCCAGUGU
rnacentral:rRNA from 1 species